GACGAACGCUGGCGGCGUGGAUUAGGCAUGCAAGUCGAACGGUAUCAUCCUUUCGGGGGUGAGAGAGUGGCGAACUGGUGAGUAACACGUAGGUUAUCUACCCUCAAGACGGGGACAACCCAGGGAAACUUGGGCUAAUACCGGAUGUGAGCAACUUUUAGUUGUUUGAAAGGUGGCGUAAGCUGUCGCUUGGGGAUGAGCCUGCGUCCUAUUAGUUAGUUGGUGAGGUAACGGCUCACCUAGGCAAUGAUAGGUAGGCGGCCUUAACGGGUGGUCGCCCACACUGGGAUUGAGAUACGGCCCAGACUCCUACGGGAGGCAGCAGUCGAGAAUAGUCUACAAUGGUCGGAAGACUGAUAGUGCGACGCCGCGUGAACGAUGAAUCCCUUCGGGGUGUAAAGUUCUUUUAUAUGUGAGCAGUGCUUUCUAUGUGAACAGCAUGGGGAGAGAGAUAUUAGCAUAUGAAUAAGCAACGGCUAACUCCGUG
rnacentral:rRNA from 1 species